AGAGUUUGAUCCAUGGCUCAGGAUGAACGCUGGCGGCGUGCUUAACACAUGCAAGUCGAACGGUGAACACGGAGCUUGCUCUGUGGGAUCAGUGGCGAACGGGUGAGUAACACGUGAGCAACCUGCCCCUGACUCUGGGAUAAGCGCUGGAAACGGCGUCUAAUACUGGAUAUGUGACGUGACCGCAUGGUCUGCGUCUGGAAAGAAUUUCGGUUGGGGAUGGGCUCGCGGCCUAUCAGCUUGUUGGUGAGGUAAUGGCUCACCAAGGCGUCGACGGGUAGCCGGCCUGAGAGGGUGACCGGCCACACUGGGACUGAGACACGGCCCAGACUCCUACGGGAGGCAGCAGUGGGGAAUAUUGCACAAUGGGCGCAAGCCUGAUGCAGCAACGCCGCGUGAGGGACGACGGCCUUCGGGUUGUAAACCUCUUUUAGCAGGGAAGAAGCGAAAGAGACG
rnacentral:rRNA from 1 species